CCUACGGGUGGCAGCAGUGAGGAAUAUUGGUCAAUGGACGAGAGUCUGAACCAGCCAAGUAGCGUGAAGGAUGACUGCCCUAUGGGUUGUAAACUUCUUUUAUAAAAGAGUAAAACGAGGCACGUGUGCCUGUUUGCAUGUACUUUAUGAAUAAGGAUCGGCUAACUCCGUGCCAGCAGCCGCUGUAAUACGGAGGAUCCGAGCGUUAUCCGGAUUUAUUGGGUUUAAAGGGAGAGUAGAUGGGUUGUUAAGUCAGUGGUGAAAGUUUGCGGCUCAACCGUAAAAUUGCAAUUGAUACUGGCAGUCUUGAGUACAGUUGAGGUAGGCGGAAUUCGUGGUGGAGCAGUGAAAUGCUUAGAUAUCACGAAGAACCCCGAUUGCGAAGGCAGCUUACUAAACUGUGACUGACAUUGAUGCUCGAAAGUGUGGGUAUCAAACAGGAUUAGAUACCCUUGUAGUC
rnacentral:rRNA from 1 species